CACCUGGGCUCUCGAGUGCUGUGUGCUGUGUUAUUCGCCAGCCGCUCGGGAUUACAAUUCAAGGCUGCUGCUGAAACUCGGGCAGAUCCCAGCUGCAAAGGGCAGUUCCUUCCUCGAGCUGCAGAACGUGUCUGGAGGGGUUGGCUCAGCCCGAGAGACCAGAUGUGCCCUGAGGCUCUUGUACCAUCGCACAGGAGGACACCAGAUCAGGGCAGCACACAGGACGGCAGCCGAGGGGACGUGGAGUGGCCAGGAACAUCAUGGCCUGGCCCCCAGUGGUCUGCUCUGCCCAUCCUGACCCGAAGCCUGGGAUGACCCCUCCUCGCCGGAAGGCAAGGGAGGGCUGGAUUGGCAGAAUCCAUCACCCAGGGGGCAGCUCCCACAUGCUGACUGUAAACAGCUGUUAGCUUUUUGAAGAGCAAAAUAAAUUGUUUUAACAGCAGAGCAGUCACCCUUCUCUGCGCUGCAAGCUGAGGGCCUGGGAGUUCCUGCACCCUGCUGGCUGCCCCUCAGCCUGGGC
rnacentral:lncRNA from 1 species